AGACAUUCGUCCGUGAUACUAGCGGCGGACGGGUGAAUACACGUAGCACCUGCUGUAAGAUCGGGAUACUACCGGAACGGUAGCUCAGACCGAAUUAUCAGCUUGGUCGCAUGGUUGAGCUGGGAAAAGCGGAAUGGUCUGCUACUUUCAGAUGGGCCUGCGGAGCAGUAGCUAAUUGGCGGGGUAACGGCUCAACAAGGCGACGAUGCGUAGACGACCUGACAAGGUGAACGGGCACACUGGCACUGAGACACUGCCCCCACUCCUACGGGAGGCAGGAGGAGGGGAAUCUUGCAAUAUGGACGCAAGUCUGACGGACCAACGCCGCGUGAGUGAUGAAGGUUUUCGGAUCGUAAAGCUCUGUUGCCCGGGAAGAACGCUUGAGAGAGUAACUGCUCUAAAGGUGACGGUACCUGAGAAGAAAGCCCCAGAUAACUACGUGACUGCAUGCGCGGUAAUACGUAGGGGGCAAGCGUUGUCCGGAAUUAUUGAGCGUAAAGCGCGCGCACGCGGGUUUGUAAGUCUGGUGUUUAAACCUAGGGCUCAACCCUGGGUCGCAUUGGAAACUGCAAGACUUGAGUGCAGAAAGAGGAAGAGUGGAAUUCCGCGUGUAGCCGGUGAAAUGCGUAAGAGAUUGUGGAGGAACACCAGUGGCCGAAGGGCGACUCUCUGGGCUGUUACCUGACGCUGAGGCCGCUAAAGCGUGGGGACGCAACCGAGGAUUAGAUACCCUGGUAUUCCACGCCGUAAACGAUGAAUGCUUAGGGGUUGAGGGGUUCGAUAUACCCUUGGUGCGGAAGUAACCCCAUAAACCAUUCCCCCGGGGGAGUCCGUUCCCAAGACUGAAACUCAAAGGAAUUGACGGGGACCCGCACAACCAGUGGAGUAUGUGUUUUAUUUGGAAGCAACGCGAAGACCCUUCCCAGUUCUUGACUUCUGAAUGCAACGCCUAGAGAUAGGCUCCUUUUUCGGACCAUCCAAGACAGGUGGUCCAUGGUGGUCUUCAGUUCGUGUCGUAGGAUGUGGGGUUAAUUCCCGCACCGAGCGCAACCCUUGAUUUUAGUUGCAACCGCUUAGGGUGGGCACUCUAGGAUGACUGCCGGUGACAAACCGGAGGAAGGUGGGGAUGACGUCAAAUCAUCAUGCCCCUUAUGACCUGGGCUACACACGUACUACAAUGGUCGAUACAACGGGAAGCGAAGCCGCGAGGUGGAGCCAAUCCAAUCAAAGUCGAUCUCAGUUCGGAUUGCAGGCUGCAACUCGCCUGCAUGAAGUCGGAAUUGCUAGUAAUCGCGGAUCAGCAUGCCGCGGUGAAUACGUUCCCGGGUCUUGUACACACCGCCCGUCACACCACGAGAGUUACCACACCCCGAUGUCGUGGGUAACCCCGCAG
rnacentral:rRNA from 1 species